GAUGAACGCUGGCGGCGUGCCUAACACAUGCAAGUCGAGCGAACAAACGAGGCGUUUGCUCCUUUGACGUGAGCGGCGGGCGGGUGAGUCACACGAGUGUAACCUACCUAUAAGAGUGGGAUCACUACGGGAAAGCGGAUAUAACACCGGAUAAGAUCUUGAACCGCAGGGUUCGUUGGUGAAAGAUGGCUUUGCUGUCACUACUAGAUGGACCUGCGCCGGUUUGGGUGGUUGUUAGGGUAACGGCUUACCAAGGCUACGAUUCGUGGCCGACCUGGGAGGGUGAUCGGCCGCACUGGAACUGAGACACGGUCCAGGCUCCUGCGGGAGGCAGCAGUAGGGAAUGUUAGGCAAUGGGCGAAAGCCUGACGCAGCAACGCCGCGUGUGUGAUGAAGGUCUUCGGAUCGUAAAGCUCUGUUACUGGGGAAGAACAGACGUGUAAUUAAAUGUGGACGUCUUGACGGUACCUAAUCAAAAAGCACCGGCUAACUACGUG
rnacentral:rRNA from 1 species